UCAGGAAUGGACCUCCUCCAGUGCGGCCACACCUUAGUAACCAAACAGUGUUACCAACUGGGGACAAGGGCUCAAAUGGAAGACAUUUCUCAUUUGCAGCACCACACAGGUCAAGCUCGAGAAAAUGUCAUCCAAAAAAUUCAAAUGCUCCACAAAUUCUUCCAGUUCCACGGGCUCAGUGUCCAGUUGGUGCAGCAACGAGUCUAAAGUCUGCAAGGAUUAGCACACUAGUGAUAAAUCCGGAACUGAAACCAAAUCAACAAGGAUAGACAGGCGAGGAUCUUGGUGCAAAGGGAUGAUUGUGGCUGGAACAGGACAUUGAACAGUUAGGAUUUUCAGAUGCCUCUCAGAAGCAACACUUUAAAAAUCAGCCAUAACAUGUUAAAAGCUGACGCUGAGUGACUUAAUGAGCAGACACUAUUCUGUAUCGAUGGGGGCAUUUAUAAGCAUGCACAAAGGUUUGCAUUUAACAUUAUAAACAGAAGAAACUAUCACAGAUAAUAGGUGGGGUAGGAGGCACCGUGCUGAAAACAGAGCCAGAGAAUCCUGUCCUCUGUGUGGAGAGUGUUGUUCCAUCUAGAGCACAGAGAUACAACUAACACAGACUGGUAUUGGAAAGGAGUUGACAGGUCAGAUGUCUAUGGUCACAUCCCUUCACCCCCAACCAAGAGAAGGAACUUUGACUUAUAUUUUAUGGCUUACACAAAUAAACUCAAGAUGAAGAUAAACACAGAAUACAAAUGGAUGAACUUCUAGAAGAAAAUAGUGUGGCUCUUAAAUGAGAAAGUCCCAGAUACAAAGUCAAAAACAUAAGGCAUGGUAGAAGUCAAUUGAUGUGCUGGGGUUUACAAAUCCGGGUGGCUUAGCACAGUUGAGAAUGAGCAGCUAAGGAGGAGAACGUUUGCAAGCCUUCCAGCUGAUGACAGAUUUGACCACAACACUUGAAAGACCUCUCUCAGCAGCAAGUAGACACUCAUCAAAGUGCCUUAAACACCUGACGCAUAGGUGGAGAACUCAGGCAAGGAAGUCUGAACCGUCUUAUCAAUUCCUAGUGAGACAGAAAGUUCUAAAAUGUGCCUCCUCGUGGCAACAGGUAAAGGAAUUUUUAAAAGUUGACAAUAUAGCAUUUCCCACCAAUGCUGGAGAAACCCAGAAAGCUUCACACACUGCAGGUGAGAAUAAAAUGUCAUCCUGCUAUACAGAAAAUAUAAUCUAAGAAUUCAAUACAAUUAAACAUAUACCACAGAUAUGCUCAUCUGUAUACAUGUAUUUAUACAAAUAAUAAUUUAAAAGCAGAUGAAUCUCAGGUGACAAAUGUGUAAGGAGUUAGAGGAACAGAAACUCCCACCUUCACAGUCCAUGGUGCAGGGUUUUCCACCAACAAAUGCUAAAAUUAAUGGACUUAGGUUUUUGUUUUCAGCAAAAAAAAAAAAAAAAAAAACCAUGAUAUUUGCAUUUCUUUUACGACUUUUGGCAGGA